rnacentral:lncRNA from 1 species
CGGAGGUAGAGAUGGGGGUAGAGGUGGUUAUGAUAGUGGUAGGAAUAACAACUAUGAUGGAGGCAGAGGUGGAAACAAUGAUAAUAGAAGCAGUGGUAGUAGAGGUGGUUCUUAUGGAAGUAGUCAAGGGGUAGAAGAUAGUGGGUAUGGUCAAGUUCCUCCUCCAGCACCCAAUUCUUAUGGUGGGAAUUAUCCACCUGCUCCUAAUACAUAUGGUGGGAAUGCAAAUUAUGGAAUGGAUUCAGUCCCUCCACCUACAAGCUAUACUGGUGGACCUACAUCAUACCCUCCAUCUUAUGGUGGCCCUGCGGGUGGCUAUGCUGGUGAGGGUUUGAGUGAUGCACGGACUGGUGGUCGUGGUGGACCUCCUGGUGGAUAUGACGGUGGGUAUGGUUCUGGUGGUCCUCGAAAUCAGGGAGGUGGUUAUGGUGGUCCUCCUGUUGAAGCUCCAGCUAAGAUCAAGCAGUGUGACGGCAACUGUGGGGAUUCUUGCGACAACUCAAGAAUAUACAU